CAGCAGCCACGGUAAUACGGAGGAUCCAAGCGUUAUCCGGAAUCAUUGGGUUUAAAGGGUCCGUAGGCGGUUUAGUAAGUCAGUGGCGAAAGCCCAUCGCUCAACGGUGGAACGGCCAUUGAUACUGCUGAACUUGAAUUAUUAGGAAGUAACUAGAAUAUGUAGUGUAGCGGUGAAAUGCUUAGAGAUUACAUGGAAUACCAAUUGCGAAGGCAGGUUACUACUAAUUGAUUGACGCUGAUGGACGAAAGCGUGGGGAGCGAACAGGAUUAGAUACCCCUGUAGUCCCUGUCUCUUAUAU
rnacentral:rRNA from 1 species